UGGCUCAGUUGGUAGAGCAUGGUGUUUGCAAUGCCAGCGUUGUGGGUUCGAUUCCCAC
rfam:Salmo salar isolate Sally breed double haploid chromosome ssa10, whole genome shotgun sequence.